CAGUAGCCACGGGAAUACGAAGGGGGCUAGCGUUGCUCGGAAUGACUGGGCGUAAAGGGCGCGUAGGCGGCGGCCAAAGUCAGGCGUGAAAUUCCCGGGCUCAACCUGGGGGCUGCGCUUGAUACUUGGUUGCUUGAGUGGGGAAGAGGGUCGUGGAAUUCCCAGUGUAGAGGUGAAAUUCGUAGAUAUUGGGAAGAACACCGGUGGCGAAGGCGGCGACCUGGUCCUUUACUGACGCUGAGGCGCGAAAGCGUGGGGAGCAAACAGGAUUAGAUACCCGAGUAGUCCCUGUCUCUUAUAC
rnacentral:rRNA from 1 species